CCGCGCAAAUAGUGUCGCCACUGGCAUUUCCCGCCAAAUUCCGGCUAUUUACUUUCCAUUGGCUCCGGUCUCCCACGUGACCCUUCUCGAUCAUGAUUGGCUGAGGCUCAUUUAACCGGUGGAUUCGCCCGCGUUCGUUUCUCCGAGGCGCCGACCCGUCUGACCGUUGUGUAGCUCGCGUCUGCCUAUGUGAGCAGGCGGUGAUUUCGUUUCGUGGAUUUCGAAGAUCUUCGAGCCAUGGAUGAACGCCUGAAUGAAAGACACCGACAGCUGUUCGUGGCCCUGCGAUCCGCGAGCAUGUGGCCCCUGUCACCAGAAAAUUCGACAGUUGUGCUGGGAUGAAGCGGAUGGCUUCUGCGACUCAUCACGUGCUAUAGAUAUGUAUAAUAAUAUCUACUUUCUCCAAACCGAAUAGGUUCCCUUAAGGAUUGUAUAAUAUGAUAGUCACGCUUUCUGUUGCUCGGCGCUAUUUAUUCUCUGUUUAUUCUGCAGUAUUCUGUAAUAAUCGUGUAGAUUUACUUGCAUUCAAAUGUUGCUUCUUGUGUAUAUGUUUACCGUGUCAAUAAAUUUGUACAUGUGAA